CAGGAAAUUUAGAAUAAAAAAACUCAUUUAUCUUUGUCUCUUUUUUUUGCCGCUUAAAGGCGUUUAUAAAAAUUUGAAGAGGUCUGAUUUCAGGUACAAUGGAGUAAGUGUACUCCUACACCCUGUUUCUCCCACAGAACGAACCUCUAGAACUGGGCAGGAUUGUGCGGAACAUCUGAAGACUUGAAAAAGAAAAUAGAGAAGACCAGAAUGGAAAAAAGAAGAGUCCUCAAAUAUCAGCAAGAGAAAAAUCCAAUUUUCAAAUGGAUGAAAGACUUAAACAGAUUCUUCACCAAAGAGCAGUUUCUCUCAAGGUGGGUCUUUCCCCUGCUGAGACCUCCACCAGACUGGAGAUAAAGAAGCAAUGGGAUCACAGGAACAGCAUCAACCUGCGUGUUUAGGCUGUAUGAUCUCACACUCCAGGCAGAAGUUUAUUGGAAGAAUGGACACCUGACACAAAUUGGGCUAAUCAGCUAUUCUGUUCAAGAAUCUUCAGGAAAAAAACUCUCCAUAUAGAUGGAAGAACUCAGGAAGUGAACUCAGGAACUGAACUAAUUUUUGUACCCUACAUGCGUUGAGAGGCAAAGGAGCUUAGUCUAUAGAGAAAUUUACUUAUUGAAGUUGUCUGAAUUUGGAAUGGCUUUUUGGUCUUGGGUUCCAGUCUCUCCUGAGCACCAGGUAAAUUCUUGUGCUCAGGUCUCAUGAGAUAACCCCUGUUUUCUUACAAUAAAUACCACACACCCCCACCACCACAUACACACACCACACUAAUUUUUGUUGUUGUUGUUGAUUUAAGCAUAUUCAAGUUAUUUUGUUACUUGUAGCCAGAGUAUUAACAAAUACAAUACCUAAUGCAUAUAAUCCUAAUUCCCAUUUACCACAUAUGAAUUACUGUGUGCAAAGUUCAUGUGAAUUGUCUUGUUUAAUCCUCUCAACUCUACUAAAAAAUUGUUUUCUCAUGAUUCAGAUCCUUCUUGACUUAAGUGUUUCUUCCAAUAAAUCUAA